rnacentral:lncRNA from 1 species
AUUGCCUUCCCAUCAUCCAUGAGACGGGUGACCUUAUGUUAGGGAACCAGUGAGUGGGAGCCAGGGUGCGCUUGAGUUUCGGGAAUGCCGCAUCUCCUCGUCUCCUCAUUUCCCAGGCAGACCCUGCCACGAGGGCGUGGCCGAAGCGGCCCGAGGAUCCGGGCAUUCUUAGGAGAAUGCUGGGCAAGGGCCACAGGAAAUUCUGACUAGUGCUGAACCAAGCAAGUGCCCUGAAACCAUCGGAGCAGCUGCAGGGGCUGAAGGGAACAGGAAGGGCUCUCCGGCACCUUUUGCCUCCGUUCUCUGCCAUUCUCCGUCGCAGUCCCGGAAGAGGCGUCUGUCAUGCAGCCUGCCAAAAUGAAGACCUGUAAAAUCCUAGCUCUGCCUUUUGUUUAAGGUGUUUUUACUUCAUAUUUAUGUCAUCACAGAAAGCAAGGAAAGAAGAAAUGUGACUGGUUCCCACUAUUGCUCCGUGCAGGCAC